rnacentral:rRNA from 1 species
GGGUUAAGUCCCGCAACGAGCGCAACCCUUGAUCUUAGUUGCCAGCAUUUCGGAUGGGCACUCUAAGGUGACUGCCGGUGACAAACCGGAGGAAGGUGGGGAUGACGUCAAAUCAUCAUGCCCCUUAUGACCUGGGCUACACACGUACUACAAUGGCCGGUACAACGGGCUGUGAAGCCGCGAGGUGGAACGAAUCCUAAAAAGCCGGUCUCAGUUCGGAUUGCAGGCUGCAACUCGCCUGCAUGAAGUCGGAAUUGCUAGUAAUCGCGGAUCAGCAUGCCGCGGUGAAUACGUUCCCGGGUCUUGUACACACCGCCCGUCACAC